rnacentral:rRNA from 1 species
GACGAACGCUGGCGGCGUGCUUAACACAUGCAAGUCGAACGGAAAGGCCCGGCUGUGGUGGGGUGCUCGAGUGGCGAACGGGUGAUUAACACGUGAGUAACCUGCCCUUGACUUUGGGAUAACUUCAGGAAACUGGGGCUGAUACCGGAUAGGAGCUCCUGCUGCAUGGUGGGGGUUGGAAAGUUUAGGCGGGUGGGGAUGGACUCGCGGCGUAUCAGCUUGUUGGUGGGGUAGUGGCUUACCAAGGCUUUGACGGGUAGCCGGCCUGAGAGGGUGACCGGACACAUUGGGACUGAGAUACGGCCCAGACUCCUACGGGACGCAGCAGUGGGGAAUAUUGCACAAUGGGAGGAAGCCUGAUGCAGCAACGCCGCGUGCGGGAUGACGGCCUUCGGGUUGUAAACCGCUUUCGCCUGUGCCGAAGCGUGAGUGACGGUAAUGGGUAAAGAAGCCCCGGCUAACUACGUG